AUCAACUAUUUCUCUUUGUUAAGAAAAUUAUAUAUAUAUUCCGGGCCUGAGGUAUAUUAUUCACUUCAAAAAUUAAUUCGGGAUUUAAUUAAAUAAUUCCGUCACGAUUAAGUACCGGCCCAAAGAUUUAUUUAAAAGCCUAAAAGCUUAAUUACUUCCCCACCUUAUACAUCCAAAUAAAAUUUUAAGGCAUAAAGAUUUAAAUGGAGCCCAUAGAUUUAAUAAAUUCUCCAAUUUAAUUUGAGGCCCAAAUCCUUUAAAAUUACAAAGGCCCAAAUCCUUACUCCCACAUUCUCCUUCAUCCCUCACUCACGUCUAUCUCUUCCUCACUCUCUAUCUCGAUUUCUCUCUCGUCCCAAAUCGGAACAGAUCCUCCAUCUACCGUCGCCUCAUCCGAUUCACCUACUGCUCCAUCAUCGCUUCCCGGACGCGUCGACCACCACGUCGGGGACCACCGCUCGCCGGGAGAACUGGUGCUGCUGUCGUGCCGCUGCUCCGUCGCCGCCGGGCAGAGCUGCUGCUGGCUGCGUCGUCUACACAACCGUCCAGCCGAGCCGUCGUUCCUCCGUCGCACCGUAGGCAUCGUUGCCGUCGGCAGGCGCUGCACAGAGCGUCGCUCAGCGCCUCAGUCACCGCCGCCGUCAGACGCAACUGCGGUCGUCUCUCCCGGCAUUCAGUCGUCGCACCACCAAACUCCACCAGAGCCGUCGGUCAGUCUCUGCCACUCCGUUGCCCCGAUUGACCCCGAUACAGCCCCGACACCUCUGAUACCAACCCGAUUCGUUAAAGGUAAAGUGAGUCUUUGAGAUGUAAGGCUUGGAGUGUAGUGGCUGUCCAAAUUUUUGGAGUCUUAUGAUGAUGAAUCUUUCGAGAAGAUGGAGGAGAAGAGAAGAGAAGAGGAGAUGAAGAUUUGCUCACAUGACUAUCUCGUCUUACUUUCCUCUUUGGCUAACCCCUUCCUUCUAGGUUAGAGGUAGACAAAGUUGUACUCCCAUUUUCAUGUAAUACUAGGCAUUGGAGCCCCUAAAGUAGAAGUGUAGUACAAGUGUGUAGUCUAUUUCCCAUAUGUAAGCAUGUACCAUUUGUAUCUCCAUCAUUCUUGUAUUUUUAUUUCUCAAAGUGAAAUCCCAUUUUCUAAUAAAA